UGGGGAAUCUUGCGCAAUGGGCGAAAGCCUGACGCAGCGACGCCGCGUGCGGGAUGAAGGCCUUCGGGUCGUAAACCGCUGUCGGGAGGGACGAAGCUCUGACGGUACCUCCAAAGGAAGCACCGGCUAACUCCGUGCCAGCAGCCGCGGUAAUACGGAGGGUGCAAGCGUUGUCCGGAAUCACUGGGCGUAAAGGGCGCGUAGGCGGCGCGGUAAGUAGGGGGUGAAAUCCUGCGGCUCAACCGCAGAAUGGCCUUCUAGACUGCCGUGCUUGAGCACAGUAGAGGCAGACGGAAUUCCCGGUGUAGCGGUGGAAUGCGUAGAGAUCGGGAAGAACACCGGUGGCGAAGGCGGUCUGCUGGGCUGUUGCUGACGCUGAGGCGCGACAGCGUGGGGAGCAAACAGG
rnacentral:rRNA from 1 species